CUAUGAGUUGCUAUGUACAAAGCCACAACAACAAACCAACAAUGAUGUGUUAUUUCAUAUGAUUUUGUGGGUUGGCUUGGCAGUUCCUCUGCAGGUUCGUUCUGGGCUCACCCUGCUACUGUAUUCAGUUGCACUAGAAGGUUCAAGACAGCUUCCCUCUCAUGUGGCAGCUGUUGUUGGCUACCAGCUGAGGCAUCUUGCAUCUCCUUCAUAUGAUUCUCCACCUUGAGCAGGCUGGGCCAGCUUUUUCAAGUGACAAUCUCAGAGUGAUGUCCCAAGAGGGUGAAAGGAACAGCUGCAUGACGUUUUGAGUUUGGAGCUAUGGAACUGGCAUACCGUCAUGUCUACUGCAUGGCCAUUCCGAAUUCAAGAGGUUGGGACAUAGACACCACCUUUAGGAGAAGCUGCUGAAUAUUGUGGCCAUGCUCCAAAAUUGAUCACAACAUCUGCAGAAAACUGGACUACCAGACACAAGAGAAAACUUAAACAUUGAAAGAUAGCAAUAAAAGUGAGCAACAACACUAACAAAACCAUCUGGUUAAAAAAAUGGAAACCAUGUAGGGAAAAGAAACCAAGAAAAGCAUCCUUUUAUUACUGUAUACAUAAAUGAAGAACAGGAUGCUUUAAAAAAGGAGCAUUUAGAAAACAAAAUGGAACCCUUGAUAAUUAAAAAUGAGAGCAGAAAGAGAAAAUCAAUAGGAGAGCUUGAAGAUGAUGCUGAGGAAAAUCCAAGAAAAUCUCCUGGAAGGUAGAGUGAAAAGAUGAUAGAGAGUAAAAAAAAUUUACAGAACCAGUCCAGGAAAUAUAUAUGAACAAUGGGGUUCCAGGAAGAGAACAUUGAGGGUUUGUUUAAUUGAAGAACAUUUCUUAGAAGUCAAGAGUGAAUUCUCAGAUAAGAGCCACUGAGUUAUCAGCACAGUGGUUUGGAAAUAGACCUACACCAGACCUGCCUGUCUUAGAACACCAGGGGAGAAAGAGAGAGAGAGAGACAGAGAAAGAGAGAGAGAGAGAGAGAACACAUCAAGAAUCAGAAUGGUUUCAAGCUUCUUAGCAGUCAUACUGGAUGUUGGAAGACAAUGGAAAAAUGCCUUUAGAAUUUGAAGAAACUUUGUUCCUACUUGGAAUUUUACACAUAGCCAAUCUACUAACCAAGUAUGAGAGUGGAAUACAGAUGUUUUUUGUGUAUCAACCCUGAGCAGAUGUGAAAGGAAGCAAGGAGGAACUUCCUUGAUGCAGAACAAUUCAAUCUCCGUGUGAGAUCUCAGCAGUUUUCUUCAUGCUGAUCUCAUUACUGAAUUUCGGGGGAGCAGUGGAACCCUACGAUACCUCCAAAAGUUAAAGGAAAGACAUAAAACCACAGUCAUUGAGUGUCAACUCUGUGUAUGGGAUUGUGGCCCUCAUGUACAUGAUGUCAUUUACCCUUAAGACCACCUGAUAAGUAUAUCAAGUUAUAAGUAUCAUCAUGUCCAUUUGACAGUCGAGGAAGAUCAGUCCUGGAAGACUUAAGUAGAAUUUGCUGCUCACCUCGUGGUUAAGAUCGGAGCAGAUCUGGGAGUUGAGUUGACUAAAUCCAUGCUGCUCUCUCAUCAUAGCCAUUCAUGGCCUCAAAAAGUAUGUAGGCGAAAUCUUGGGUGACAGUUUCAUAAAAGAUUCAUGAGGGGAGUCCGGAUGUUUGGAGGACAGGUGUAACUGGCAAGGUCUCACUACUUCAGCACUGUCUUGCCAAGAGCAGACCUCUGGGCGGGAUGCCCUGGAAGCUGACCCAGCAGGCUGCCCUUCUGUUCUUGCAGUCUGCGGAGAGCCCAGUCCUGCCAACUCUAGACCCACAGAACCAGUCUGCUGUUUUCUUAAUCUUUUACUUUCCUCCUGAUGGAACAACUUGGUCUCCUUCCCUUCUGAGUAGACAGGUGAAGGCUGAAUGGAAACAGAGCCUUUCGUUCUCCUGUUCAGAAUGUAGGUGCCAUUGAAGCCAGUGGCUUGAGUUACAAGGGUGGCAGAGGGCUGACUACCUUCCAGGGGCACAGGACAGUGAAGUGAGACCCUGAACACAGGGUCCCAUGUUGUCAUUCCUCUGCUUGAACUACAGUCCAAGUGAUCACUGCUGGUGGAAUUGAAGUUUGGACUACUCAACUUAGAGUUGUACAGGGAUAGAUGCUUAUCUUUGAAAGUACUGCAUGAGUUAGAAUACAUGUGGGAGAGGUGGCACGCUUGCAGAGGCUCAGAGGGUGUGUUUGCUGCAUGAACUUCUUACAAAAGUGUGGGCAGGAUUAAGGAACCUCAACAAAGAAUGUUGAAGCUCCUAGGCCGGUAACAGAAAGGAGUUUUGAAGGGGCUUUGGAUGGGAGAAUUCACUAGACCUAGAGAGCUAUAGGUAGAGGAGACAGCUGUCCAACACAUCUAUGAUUAUAGAUUGAGAGAUAUAAUCACCUUCCAACCUGUACUGGAAAGGAGCAAGUCCUGGAAAUAAAUACUCCAAUGUUACUCCUCCUACCCUCAGAUUCCCUGCUGGUGCCUUCCCUUGAUUGAAUCCAAUUAGAAGCCAGAGGGCAAGGAAAGGUGUUCACAUGGUCCCUAAAAGUCCACCUCCUACAAUCAAGCAAGGUGAAGAAGGGUGGAGAAUGGGUUUGGAGGGCGCAGAAAGAGACAAUCCAACAGAGGUAUAAAAAAUAAAACAAAGAGUCACCCAUGAUCCCUGCUUAUAUAA